GACAUGCAGAGAACUUUCCAGAGAUGGAUUGGUGCCUUCGGGAACUCUGACACAGGUGGCUGCAUGGCUGUCGUCAGCUCGUGUCGUGAGAUGUUGGGUUAAGUCCCGCACGAGCGCAACCCUUGCCUUUAGUUGCCAGCAGUUCGGCUGGGCACUCUAAAGGGACUGCCGGUGUUAAACCGGAGGAAGGUGGGGAUGACGUCAAGUCCUCAUGGCCUUUAUGACCAGGGCUACACACGUACUACAAUGGCCGAUACAAAGGGCAGCGACACUGCGAGGUGAAGCCAAUCCCGUAAAAUCGGUCUCAGUCCGGAUUGGAGUCUGCAACUCGACUCCAUGAAGUUGGAAUCGCUAGUAAUCGUGGAUCAGCAUGCCACGGUGAAUACGUUCCCGGGCCUU
rnacentral:rRNA from 1 species